rnacentral:lncRNA from 1 species
CACUGAUUCAUAUAAGGACACUGCAGUCAUAGUGCAAGUGCUUUAAUUCUGUAAAGGUUUGUAUUUAAUUUGGAAAUUAUGCCUUAACUUUUGAUUUGGGGAGCAGAGCUUCCUGGGCUGCUUGCAUCAUUGCAGCCUGUUCACUAUGUGGGUGAAGAGAAGCCUAGUUCUGCAUUGUGGUCCUGUUGGUCAGGAAUGUUGGGAGCAGGCUGCCUGAUGGGGGGGAUAAAACAAAAAUGGAAUUAGCUCUGAGAGAAAGCUAACUUUUUUCCUUUGCCCUUUUGUUACUGCAAUUACACUUCUGGCAGUCUCCUGUCACAGUCUGAUGUCCCUAGUGUGGAAAGGGUCACUGAACCCCAAGGCUGGUUGAGCAGGGUUCCCUGCAUGCUGAGCUGCUGACAUUGCCAGAGCCAUGGAGUGAGCUGUGCCAGGACAGCUGGGACACAACCACCAGAGUUCCAGGUGUACAAACCGGCAACGGGGGAAAAAUAAACUGCUUACAACACUGUGAGAGCUCCUCAUGCCAUGGAUCACUGUGAAGGGAAGCCCAGCCCUGAGCAGCAGCAGCUCCUGUUUGCAGCACACAGAGCCUGUGAUUCAUCCUGGCCGUGAGGAGGAUUCAGAAUGAAACUGCAAAGCAGAGCAAAACCUUUUUUCUGCCUCCUUCGACUCAGGUAAUUUCAUAGACAAAGUCUUUCUCACCUUAAUCUGUGCUCCACUCUACAAAU